UCCGGUUUGUCACCGGCAGUCCCAUUAGAGUGCUCAACUGAAUGUAGCAACUAAUGGCAAGGGUUGCGCUCGUUGCGGGACUUAACCCAACAUCUCACGAUACGAGCUGACGACAGCCAUGCAGCACCUGUGCACGAGCUCCGAAGAGCCCCGCGGGUUUCCCCACGAGUUCCCGUGCAUGUCAAGCCCAGGUAAGGUUCUUCGCGUUGCGUCGAAUUAAACCACAUGCUCCGCUGCUUGUGCGGGCCCCCGUCAAUUCCUUUGAGUUUUAGCCUUGCGGCCGUACUCCCCAGGCGGGGUGCUUAAUGCGUUAGCGCCGGCCCUCACGGGGUCGCUCCCCCAAGGACCUAGUGCCCAUCGUUUACGGCGUGGACUAC
rnacentral:misc_RNA from 1 species